rnacentral:rRNA from 1 species
GUCUACAGCCAUACCUCCCUGAACAUGCCCAAUCUUGUCUAAUCUCAAAAGCUAAGCAGGGCCGGUCCUGGUUGGUACUUGGAUGGGAGAAAUUCUCCAAAUGAAAAAGGUAUAAAGGCUGGAGAUGUAGUUG